UGUGCUAUCAUUCUUACUUUCUAAUUUUAAUUUUAUUAUAUAAUUUCAAUGUAUUUAACUGUUAAUGAUGGACGUAUCAGCUCGUGUUAUUAUACUAAUACGUCUUUAGCCUUACCAUUUAAGGCUCAUAUUGUAUAGUGCUGGCACUCCAAAUUGUGGAGUUGUAUGUAUGCAGCGCACAAGAAAUUCAAAUAUUGUCAGUUGACCCAUACCCAACUGUCUUUGUGCUCGCAAAAUUUUGUUGUUUUGUUGUUGCCAUAUUACAGGUUGAUCCCUAUGAAUUUCGAUUCCAUCUCUUGCUCGCCUUAUGUCUUUAGUAAUGGCUCCAAUAUAUGACCAAGGUGAUGGAUUUGAAUGCGUGAAAUGGCUCAUCAAGUUCCUGUGGCUCGCUUCCAAAAUAUUAUUUGUUCUAUCAGUACGCCCAUGUUCUGAGAGAGUAACAGG